rnacentral:rRNA from 1 species
UCAACAAGGAAGUGACGGCUAACUACGUGCCAGCAGCCGCGGUAAAACGUAGGUCACAAGCGUUGUCCGGAAUUACUGGGUGUAAAGGGAGCGCAGGCGGGAAGACAAGUUGGAAGUGAAAUCUAUGGGCUCAACCCAUAAACUGCUUUCAAAACUGUUUUUCUUGAGUAGUGCAGAGGUAGGCGGAAUUCCCGGUGUAGCGGUGGAAUGCGUAGAUAUCGGGAGGAACACCAGUGGCGAAGGCGGCCUACUGGGCACCAACUGACGCUGAGGCUCGAAAGUGUGGGUAGCAAACAGGAUUAGAUACCCUGGUAGUCCACACCGUAAACGAUGAUUACUAGGUGUUGGAGGAUUGACCCCUUCAGUGCCGCAGUUAACACAAUAAGUAAUCCACCUGGGGAGUACGACCGCAAGGUUGAAACUCAAAGGAACUGACGGGGGCCCGCACAAGCAGUGGAGUAUGUGGUUUAAUUCGACGCAACGCGAAGAACCUUACCAAGUCUUGACAUCCUGCGACGGACAUAGAAAUAUGUUUUUCCUUCGGGACGCAGAGACAGGUGGUGCAUGGUUGUCGUCAGCUCGUGUCGUGAGAUGUUGGGUUAAGUCCCGCAACGAGCGCAACCCUUACUGUCAGUUACUACGCAAGAGGACUCUGGCAGGACUGCCGUUGACAAAACGGAGGAAGGUGGGGAUGACGUCAAAUCAUCAUGCCCUUUAUGACUUGGGCUACACACGUACUACAAUGGCGUUAAACAAAGAGAAGCAAGACCGCGAGGUGGAGCAAAACUCAGAAACAACGUCCCAGUUCGGACUGCAGGCUGCAACUCGCCUGCACGAAGUCGGAAUUGCUAGUAAUCGUGGAUCAGCAUGCCACGGUGAAUACGUUCCCGGGCCUUGUACACACCGCCCGUCACACCAUGAGAGCCGGGGGGACCCGAAGUCGGUAGUCUAACCGCAAGGAGGACGCCGCCGAAGGUAAAACUGGUGAUUGGGGUG